UCACACCCUGCUGGUCCAAUCAGUAUUAGUAAUAUACUGUAUACUGUCGCCAGGGGUGGCUAACCUGCGGCUCUUCACUUCCUUUCAUGUGGCUCUCUGAAGGCAGAAAAGCAUAUGGAAUUUCUAAUUACAUGCAUCUCCAUGCACACCUGCUUUGCUUGUGUUGAUUUCAGUCGUUGCGACCACCAGUUCCUCGAGUUCAUUACGGUAUUUGGGUGUACACUUUGCUCGAGUUUAUUACGGUUGUUAUGAGUAUUGUGACAACAAGCUGUGUGUGUGGCCACUUUGCGUCGUUCUGCGAGUGAGAGGGUACUGCUCAGGCAUGUCCGGCUGGAGAGUGAGAAGAAAAAGAGCAAUGGGGACCGGGGAAGGGUGGCUUUAUUCUUCCCGUCGUCAAACUCAGCUGUGAAACGAAAGAAGAGAGUUAAAUCUGAGGAGGACGACCUCAGCCCCAGAGAAGAUGUUUUCCCUGCAUUUCCCGACCACAGGUGACUGCAGCAGGAAAGGUACCAUCUUCCUGCUGGAAACUGAUGGUUGCGCCACACCAGUUAGUGUCGACUUCGGCCUAGUGGAUCUGUCAUCGUGUGGCUUCUGGCGCUGCUGACGGUUCUCCCUCCUUUCACGACACUUGCUUCAGGAGCCACCUGAGUUCACAGGAGCCAUUCACUUCCUGCGCAUGUCUGCCAUAAUCUGAUAACUUGUGGUCAGCUGUCAUCAAUUUUGUAUUAGGCAUCAAUGCAUUAAAGUCUUUUAGUGGUAUAAUGCUUACUUGUGCACCAGUAUCUAAC